CAUGCUAGAGCACUUUUUCAAUGUGCUCCCCAACGAGAAGGCGAUGACGCAUUCGUAAGUCAAUCCGUCUCAACUUUCGAUGCCAUUGACUGCGCCUACCAUGGUGACCACGGGUAACGGGGAAUCAGGGUUCCAUUCCUGAAAGGGAGCCUGAGAAACGGCUACCACAUGCAAGGAAGGCAG